CUCUUGUCUGUCACGUGAGGGGCGGUUCGCUGACCGGCGGUUCGCUGACGGGCUUUUUGCCACACCCAGUUCCACUUCUAGUGGAAGUUUGAGCAGCUGGGAAAGAAGAAAGGAGGAAAGAAAAGGGAUGGAAAUGAAAGCAUUUUCCAGCUUAAUGCCUGCCUACCACAUACCUGAAGCUGUGUAACUCUGCUCCAGCAAAAGUACUAUAUCUGGCAUAGCUGCUGCAAGUACAACUACUACUUCGUUGAAUUUGUGAUACUCUACUGUCACCCCCCAGAAUCCAUCUGGUUUUUGCAAGAUCCAGACUGGUCAAUUAAAUGGAGAUACACUGGGGACUAGUAUCCCUGCAUUCUUCAGGUUUUUAAAGUGGUUGGUAUUCCUGUUCGAUUUCACGUAGGAAGCCACUUCCAGAGCCACUUCCAGAGCCUGAUCCUGAAAAGUCCUCAGAAAGAGGGAAGACAUCAUUCAAGUUCCUGGAUUUCAUCAUUCUGAAGCAUGACAGAAAAGUGGAAAAGAAACAUUAAACUUUGAGACAUGAAAAGAUAAUCAUAAUAAAUUUUUUAAGAUAUGAAAGUAAAUGUAGCCACUCCGUUGCUCAAAUUUUAAGUUAAAAGUUUCCCAGUUAUUUAAUGUUUUAAAACAAAAAAUAAGUCAGACCUUUCCACAUAUUUACAAUACUUACUGUAUCUAACUCGUUGCCUUUAUCAGCUUCACAUCUACUCAUUGCAGAUGCAUAUAAAAAUGCUAAUUUUCUUAUCACUAACAUAGCAAUCCUAUAUUUAGAAUAUACUUAACGGGUCAUUUAUUUUUUACAGAAAAGAUCCCAUUUUUACACUUUCUCCCACUGAAGAAAGGACACACAAGUAAAUUAGACUAGAUGUAUAUUUUUCCUAUUUUAAAAAUUCUGCAAAAUCUCUAAUAACUUCACAGGGCUUCAACAAAGCUCACGCUUAAGAAAUUCUUUGCAACAAGUCAAGCAUUAUAUUUGCCAGCAUGUUAACAUUCAAUCUCCUCCCCGCAAAUAAGUGCAUUCAUUCAACUGGGUUCAGUGGGGUAGUUUGAAAUCCACUCAGCACCAAAGGACCAGAGCAAUGAUGCCACCCAUCAGUGGCAGAAUAAGGCAACAAAGCAUCAGAGACAAAAGUUGAGUUUCACAGCCUAUGGGUCAUUUUCUACAUGAAAAUAAUAAACCACAGGCCAUACAACAGAUUAGAGUUUCCUUCAUGCCUACAUUCGAUAAAUAUUGAAUAUCUGAUCCCUGUUCUGAGGGCCUGGGAUAGAAUGGGGACUGACAGAUGAGGUCCCUGCUCAGAGGUUUAUAACUUUGGCGGGGAGACAGACAAUAAAAAGUGAAUAAGCAAAUCAGGAAAAUAUUAGGUGGGGCUAAAUGUUAUGCAGAGAAACAAAGUGGAAUAAUGUAAUAGAGGGUGACCUGCUGGAUAGUUGGUCAGCUGGUUAGGAAAAGGAAUCAGAGCUGGAAACAGAUUUGGUAGUUUCUCCCCCUCCCUCUCCCUCUCCCUCUCC